rnacentral:lncRNA from 1 species
CGCGGCCGCGAAGGCCGGGCGGCAAGAGGGCCUGAGGAAGGCAGCUGGCGGCGGACAGUUUCCCGAAGGCACACGGGGUCGCGAGACGGCUUCACCGGAAACGCCCGGACUGUAUCGUGUUACAUCGGGUGUCCGCGGGCGGAAAGACGAGCUUGGGAGGCGGCGGAGGAGGGGCUCACCGAUUCAGGGAGCCGAAGGUCUUGGGGGCGUCCCCCCGAGCGGCGGGGCCAGCCUGCGCGCCGGGCGGAGGGCGCAGGGCGGAGGGCGCAGGGCCGGCGGUGGGGAGGGGCGGGGAGGCGUGUCUGGGGGCGGGGCGGCCGCAUGGAUUCUCUCCGCCUCCGGCACCUGCGUCUCUGGGUGCUUCUGGGGAGGAACCGUGUCCUGGGCUGCGUCCCUCGAGCUCCCCGUGCCUGGGACAUGGUUUCCCUACAGCUCUUCCUCACCUGGCAGAUACUCUGCACCCUGCUUGGCUGUCACUUCUUGCAGAAAGCCUGCCUUAAGGGCCCUGCCGCCCCCGCCCCCAGUCUCGGUAGCGGCCUUCCUACGUAUUUCAUCCCACCCGCACCGGUCCGGCGCGCCCGCGGGUAGGAGAUGCUCCGCAAAGGUUUGCUCGCUGAAUUAAAGAUGCGCAAGAGGGACUGAAUCAGAGAAGAAGUUAGGAGGCUGCUGGCCCGAUGCGGGGGUGAAGAAGGGAAGAUCUGGCCAGGGGCGGCAGGACACCAGAGAGGAGAGGCGACUGCCGGGGAUGCUCUGGGCGGGCAUCAAGGCCCGUCGAUGCGUUAAGGCCUCUGGCCAAGUUGGGGUAAAGGUUCCCCCUGUGGCGAAGACCGCCGGCUGCCCGCUCAGCCUUUCCCGUCCGCCCUCCUAAGAGAGGUUCCGUGUGUAGCGGGGGAGUUGAUGUUGCUUUCAUCUGGUCUCAGAAGAGCUAGGCGGUAUCGUGGGUGUAAGACUGAAGCCCCGUCGGUCGUUUCACUCUGCAGCACGGGAAGCCUGAUGGCAGGUGCUGCCCGAGCCCUCCGGAUGCCAGCCCCUGGGCUGAGGGCUCUCCGUGUAUUAGCGCAGUUAAUUCCCUCGAGGGCCGAGGGCCGGUGAGGUGGGUAUUGUUGUUGUCAGUAUCUAGGGCCAGGAGUAGGGGGAGGCCGGGGAGGCACUCUCCUUGGGGGAGGGAGGGAUUGACGGGAGUGCCCCCGCCCCAAUCUUCAGUAAGCAAGAUAAGUCAUGUUUUACUUCUCUUUUAAUAAUAUUUAUUUCUCUUGAUAAAUAAAUCUUCUCUUGAUUAUAAGAUAAUCGAGAUAUUUAUCUUGACUACUGGGUCUUUGGCGCUCCCUUAAAUCUUGUUGCCAAGGCGGGUGCCUCACUCGUUUUACUCCACUCUGAUCCCCGCCUUGUUAUUAUCCACCCCCCCGUCCUAUUGACCUGAACUGUCACAGCCACGUGUAGCUCUGGAGCACUGGAAAUGGGGUCGGUCCUAUAAAUGUGAUUCCUGGAGAUGGCUGGAAGUGUAAAAUACACAUGGGAUUUCGAAAAGACUUAGCAUACACGUUGUAAACACGUUUAAAAUCUCAAUUUUAAAAAUGUUGGUUACAGGGGCCGGCCCGGUGGCGCAGUGGUUAAGUUCACACGUUCCACUUCUCGGCGACCUGGGGUUCGCUGGUUGGGAUCCCGGGUGUGGACAUGGCACUGCUUGGCACGCCGUGCUGUGAAAGGGGAUCAUGAUAACAGCUCUCCGCUUCGGGGACUUGUGAAGCUACCCGUGGAAACGACAGGCAUAUGGGAAUCUCGUGAUAAGUGCGCUCUAGGAAAAGUCCCCCGCCCGUCGGUCACAUGGAGAGAACAUCCGUUUUACGGUGUUGUGAAGAGUCUUCCCCUGCCCGCCCCGGGCAUCCCUGCUUCCCGUCCCACUUUCCCUGGCUUUAUUUUCCUGCCAGCUGCCGAGUCGUUCCGGACGCCCGCGAGCAUCCCACGGCACAGAGAGAGGACUACAGACACGGCCGUGCGGGCACACAGGCGCACAGUUAGAUUCGCAACUGUACCGACGGUGUUGGCCUAUCUGCUUCUCGCCUCGACGGCAGAGACUCUGUUUGCUCCUCCGUCCCCAGCACCUGGGACGGUGCUCGGCACGGCCUUGGCGCUUGAGGAAUAUUUGUGGAAGGAAAGGAGGAGGGUCAAAUGAGACGACAUCUCACGUGCUCAGCCUGCACCUGACACGACUCUUCGGGCCUCCCCAUCCCAGGAUCCCUGUUCAGCUCUGCGUGUCUCAGACCAUCUUCUGCUCAGACUUUGGUUUCCCUGAGAAGGGGGUUGCUGCGGUCUGAACCCCGCUACCCUGUUCAUCUCUCGCGGGCCUCCUCCUUGUCCUGCCUGUUCUCCUGGCCGUUGGGGCAGGUGUCUUAGUCUCAAGCCUGGGUCGGCAACUCCCCGAGGGCAGGAACGGUGUCUGGCCCGUCUCUGCUCCCAGCUCCCACCCAGGUGUGUCACAUCACGUUACAGGCGGCCCAGUGUUUGGUCGGUUCGAAUCCUGGGCGGGGACAUAGCACCGCUCAUCGAGCCACGCUGAGACGGCGUCACGUGCCACAACUAGAAGGACCCACAACUAAGAAUAUACAGCUAUGUACCGGGGGGCUUUGGGGAGA